rnacentral:rRNA from 1 species
ACUAUCCGCCCGGGUACUACGAGCAACAGCUUAAAACCCAAAGGACUUGGCGGUGCUUUAGACCCAUCUAGAGGAGCCUGUUCUAAAACCGAUAAUCCCCGUUCAACCUCACCUUUUCUUGUUCUUCUCCGCCUAUAUACCGCCGUCGUCAGCUUACCCUAUGAAGGCCCUUCAGUAAGCAUAAUUGGUACAACCCAAAACGUCAGGUCGAGGUGUAGCGUAAGAAAAGGGAAGAAAUGGGCUACAUUCCCUGCAUCAGGGAAUUACGAAAAAUAUUACUGAAACGUAUAUCUAGAAGGAGGAUUUAGCAGUAAGCAGAAAAUAGAGAGUUCUACUG